CGAAUCGGUAUUUUCUCAUGGGGGCUUGGACAAAAGACAUUAAUUUACAUUUGCCAUUUGAUCGGGAUGUUGGUAAUAUAUAUCGAUAAUUGUUAUAAAAAUUCUAAUUCAUUAUUCUUAUCGUUUCAAUUCCUUGGAAGUCAAAGGCACUUGGCUUACGAGCUUGUUCAGGUCACUGUGAUAAUGUAGAGUAUAUUUAGAAAAAGAGAGAUAUUGUUGGAUACAAAGAGUUCAACAAGAAGAGGGAAAAUAUGCCUCAAAAUAAAUAAGUAGCUUCUAUCCAACACCACCUCUCUCAUUCUUUGUUUGUACGUCUUUAUUUAAAUUUUUCCUUAAAACAUAUGCUCUACAUGUCCGAUAUUAUAUAUACACCCUAAUGUAUACAUAUAUUAUCGUCAUUGAAUAGUAUUUUUAGUGGCUCGGAUGCUUCUUUUUUUUCAACAACCGUUUAAAGCCGUUUGAAAAAAAAUCUUAACAUACGGUAUUUUUUAGCGAGUCAACUAAACACCUCCGACAAGUUUGUUUUUAUCAGAAAAUUUUGUACGGACAGCUUGAACAGGAAGACAACUCACGAC